rnacentral:rRNA from 1 species
GACGAACGCUGGCGGCGUGCUUAACACAUGCAAGUCGAACGGUGAAGCGCCUUCCUUUUUGGUGGGUGUGGAUGAGUGGCGAACGGGUGAGUAACACGUGAGUAACCUGCCCCCUUCUUCUGGAUAACCGCAUGAAAGUGUGGCUAAUACGGGAUAUUCUGGGUCUGUCGCAUGAUGGGUCUGGGAAAGAUAUUGUUUCGGUGGGGGAUGGGCUCGCGGCCUAUCAGCUUGUUGGUGGGGUGAUGGCCUACCAAGGCGGUGACGGGUAGCCGGCCUGAGAGGGUGGACGGUCACACUGGGACUGAGACACGGCCCAGACUCCUACGGGAGGCAGCAGUGGGGAAUAUUGCACAAUGUGCGCAAGCCUGAUGCAGCGACGCCGCGUGAGGGAUGGAGGCCUUCGGGUUGUGAACCUCUUUCGCCAGUGAAGCAGGCCUGCCUCGUUUGUGGGUGGGUUGACGGUAGCUGGAUAAGAAGCGCCGGCUAACUACGUG